UCUUGUUAAAUGGGGCUGAUAUCAGUAAAGCGAUAGUGAUAUUUUUAUCAUAUUGGAUAAAAACACCUUAACGUGCAUACCAGAUAUUAAGUAUUUAUCAAUUGGUCGACGGCUAUAGCCUAAAUCAGAGUAAAUAAUUCCUUGAGUUUAAGAGCUAAGAAUCAUUCCUCUUAAGUAGUCUUGUAAUUGGUUUUAAAUCAGCAUCCAAAUUAAGAAAGGAUUUUAAUCCAGAUAAAAUUACUUGCGAUCUGUAUAGAGUAUAAGUUGAUGGUUAAAAUGUUUUUUGUGUGCUGUGGACGACAAAAGGAAAACACAUCGGAAACUUGUACAGAACCAACAGGGCUAAGUUUUCAAAGUAACCAAUUAAAUGACAAUGAAUUGGCGAAAACUCAGUAUAGUGAAACGGAAAAACCUGUGGAAAUGCAUCGAAUGCGCACAAUAUCCACUUCCUCUUUCAGCAGCAUCAAAAGUUCUCAAAGCUUUUACAGUGUCCAAAGUACAGACAGUGAUACUGGUUUUUAUAGUGUUCAUAGUGAUAGCUCAAAUUGGCAACGCUAUUAAAACAACGUCAAGCCUUAAUUGUACCCAACAAUUGUAACCAAUAGAAAAUUUUCUUUUUGGAAAAUAUUAAGAACUGAAGCAUAUUUUGUAAGAUGUUGUUCAAAACAAAAACAAAGGUUAAUAGAAGAUAAGAUAUCGCUGCAGUUCAAAGUAUCAACUUUGUUUCAUAAGCCGCUUAUAUUUAAAAAAGGCCAUCAAUACUAAAAGUAAAAUAACUCCGGAUUUCAUUCAAUGAUUAUUUUAAAAAGUAAAUGUAUAAAAUUGUAAUUUACCUAUAUAUUUGUUAAAUAUUUUACGAUUCGUGAAGGAGAUUUAUAUUUAAAUUUUAUCCAAUUUUAUCAGUAAGCUUUAUAAUUUUUUAUUGUACUUAUUGUUCCCACCUAAGAUGUUUGAAUAUGUACAGUAAUGUAUUGUUAUGUUUUGCUUAUAGACAUAUUUAAUUAUGUAAUUUAUAGUUUCUUACUCUUAGCGUGUUAAAUUCCAGCUAUACAUAUACUCAUCUAUUAUAUUAUCUGGGUCAG
rnacentral:lncRNA from 1 species